AAAAAACAAGCACAUAUCUGUUAAGUACAGUAUUUUUCAUAUUUUUUAAGAAAACGGGGAUCCUAUAGUUCAAAAACUUGACGUGAUAGAGAAAAACUGAGAUCAGUUUUGGAUUCCACACCCAAAAAUUAGUCAAAAACAGCUGUCAGACCUAACCCAACAAAAAUUGUGUUCCCCAGUGUAAUUAACUUCAACAUGUAAA